GCAGAACCAGGCAUGAGGGCAUUUUCGGAAAUGUAAGUGUUCUUAGCGAGAAUAGGCAAAAGCAAUAGAGCAAAAAUCCCAGCUGCGCAGCAAGCCACACUAACGAUGAAACUAUGGGAGAUAAGGAAGAGUCCAAGGCGGAUGAUUGGUCGAGGCUUCGCCUUCGCUGGCUCAGCAUCCGCCAUCGUCUCCAUCGGCGUCGAUAAUUUCUCCUUUCU
rnacentral:misc_RNA from 1 species